CGGUAUCGGCAUUCCGUAGAAGAUGGUUGAGACACAUGAUUGGGAAAAAGGUCCCGUUGAACCUUAGGAAUGGAUUAGGAUACAAGUGACAUGUCACUAGGAUAUUUAGGCAUCCGAACUCGUUGAGUUGAGUCCGAGUUCACUUAUGGAUGCGAAUGUUCGAACUCGUUGAGUUGAGCCCGAGUUCGAGAGAUCUAACUAGGCAUCCGAGCUCAUUGAGUUGAGUUCGAGUUCACUUGUGGAUGCGAA
rnacentral:lncRNA from 1 species